AGUCGAGGGGCAGCAUCAUUAAAGCUUGCUUUGAUGGAUGGCGACCGGCGCACGGGUGAGUAACACGUAUCCAACCUGCCGACAACACUGGGAUAGCCUUUCGAAAGAAAGAUUAAUACCGGAUGGCAUAGUCUUCCCGCAUGGGAUGACUAUUAAAGAAUUUCGGUUGUCGAUGGGGAUGCGUUCCAUUAGGCAGUUGGCGGGGUAACGGCCCACCAAACCAACGAUGGAUAGGGGUUCUGAGAGGAAGGUCCCCCACAUUGGAACUGAGACACGGUCCAAACUCCUACGGGAGGCAGCAGUGAGGAAUAUUGGUCAAUGGACGAGAGUCUGAACCAGCCAAGUAGCGUGAAGGAUGACUGCCCUAUGGGUUGUAAACUUCUUUUAUACGGGAAUAAAGUGAGCCACGUGUGGCUUUUUGUAUGUACCGUAUGAAUAAGGAUCGGCUAACUCCGUGCCAGCAGCCGCGGUAAUACGGAGGAUCCGAGCGUUAUCCGGAUUUAUUGGGUUUAAAGGGAGCGUAGGCGGGUUGUUAAGUCAGUUGUGAAAGUUUGCGGCUCAACCGUAAAAUUGCAGUUGAUACUGGCGACCUUGAGUGCAACAGAGGUAGGCGGAAUUCGUGGUGUAGCGGUGAAAUGCUUAGAUAUCACGAAGAACUCCGAUUGCGAAGGCAGCUUACUGGAUUGUAACUGACGCUGAUGCUCGAAAGUGUGGGUAUCAAACAGGAUUAGAUACCCUGGUAGUCCACACAGUAAACGAUGAAUACUCGCUGUUGGCGAUAUACGGUCAGCGGCC
rnacentral:rRNA from 1 species